rnacentral:lncRNA from 1 species
GUGGUCAAGAAGCCAGAGAUAGAACCACAGCCUCCACCAGGAUUGACAAGUUUGAGACCAGGUUCUCCCAUUUGGCGUUUGAAAAGGACUUUGAAAGCAUCAGUGGCCACUUUGUAACUUUCAACAGUGCUGCCUUGCAUCACAAUGGCAAGAGCCACAGCCCCUGUGGCAAAGCCAGCGAUGUAUGCUCUACUCCAAGAUUUGGCUCCAUGCACACCAGGGAGGCCGCUCACAGAAGGUUUUAGACUCUGGAAAAUAAAUUAGUUUGCACAAAA